UGUCUCUCCCUUUUCCCAAGACGCUUCCUACGUAAAUCUCCCACAGUACUACAUGCUGAGGAGCUCACUUCUCUGCAUUUCAUGUGAUAGGUGUGUGUGGAAAGCCAGAGAUGCAUGCCCGGACUUGAAUCGGACCUUUGCUGAUUUUGCAGAUGGAUGAAGACAUCGAGGAGCACGUGUUUGUUCCAGUUUCACUUCAGUACCUUCUGGAUUUACAACUUUGCCCAGGUCUGUCAUCAUUACAGGCGAGAUUCUGUUGUAUAAUGGUGACCAGUAACAGUCUCCAGACCAGAAUUUGAACACACACAUCUUUGAGCUGCCAGUCCAACUCUACAUUGUGAUCUCCAAGCUCCAGUAACCAGCACCAACUGACAACAGUCUCUGUGUCUCUUCGGGCACAUUCUCAUAUGGAAGACUCAUCAGGCCGUAUCAUGCUUUUCUCACCAUGGAUCAGCUGCAUUGGCUUCUCCACCAUGCUGCGUGAUCUCGUCUAGGAUACACAAGAGGUCGGAUAAUCAUCGCAGCGAAUCACUGUGUAGAGUGUGGUGUGUGCUCCAAAUGGGUUUGUCAUCUGGUUUGAUGCAGUAAGGCACAAGCCCAGGAAAAGGAAAGGAGUCAUACCACACAAUGCCUGAGAAUGCGUCUGAGGUACCAGCUGAAUAGCGUCCUGAAAUGGUGCCUGCUCUCCCCACAUCCUCUCAGGAACUGCUUGUCCACAGAGGUGGUCUGCAUUCUCUGCUGUAAGAAGCCACUCAGAAAACGGGAAAGAAGAGAGGAUGUGAGAACAGGAAUCAGGAGACCAGGACUUGGAAAGGUUCAUCUGUGUCAUCACUGUUUGCCUGUCUUAGAUUGUAAAUGAAGACAAACUGGGGAGUAUGUUUAACCCACUCCACACACCACAAUACUGUAAGAAGACAUACUAAAGCCCUUUUGAUUGCUGCAUCAGUAAAAAUUAUUUAUUGAGUACCUACAUACGCAGAGCUCUCUGUUAGCUGCAGAUGGAUGGAAGGAUGAGUAACUUAUGGUUCCUGCUGUCAAGAGGAUACCUGGGAGCCAGAGGAAAUUCUAUUGUCUGCCAGCCUCAGCUUCUCACCUGCUUUUAACUAAUAUGGAGUCUGGAUAGGACCUGCGAUAAGACAAAGCAGAGUGGAUUGUUCGCCAUGGUCAGGAAAACACCCCUCCACAGAGCUUGGCCCGGGGAACAAAGGUGACAUCAGAAUUUUUUGAGAAUUGGAAAGUGGUUAAAGAGAAAGCCCCGCCACCCAUAUGAUGUUUGAGCCAAAACCCAGAGCAGAUGAGAAUGCAAACCAGAAGUGAAUCACUGUAUGCUGUAUGUGGGAAGCGCAUUCCAGACAGAGGGAACGGCAUGUGCAAUGGCUCUGAGACAAGUUUGAGACGCAUCAAGGAGCCCAGUAAGCAGAGAGGAAAGGAGGAGGACGACGAGAGGUGACGAAACUGAUGCCCAGAGAUGUGAAAGAGAAAACUCCCUUUCUUCAGCAGCUCAGCGACAACUGAUUAGAUCGAAGUACGUUUGCCUGCAUGAGUCUCAAAGUGACAGUUCUUACUGAGAAUAGAGGAAUUAAGAAGACCUUUAUUCUUCUUUCGUCAUAAUAAAACAGAAUGUCAUUGAAUCCUCCAAGGGAGACUCAAAUUGUAAUGACUCCCUUCACCCUUCCUGAACUGAAAAGGAAACAGAUCUUCAUCUUUCUGUGUGUAGGGCAAGGGUGGCAGUGUUUACCCUUAGGCUACUUGUGAUAAAUCACCUGCAGAUUUUAUCCUCAAGGUCUUCUGAGUGGACUCAGAACUUUGACCUGGGCUCCAAGUUUUUCAUUCUUGGUGACUUCGUAUUAUUUGGGGAAACCCUAAGGGAGUGGCUUGGCCUUAAAUACAACCUCUCUAAACACCUUGAACGCCCGGUUUGGGGACAUCCAUACUACAGAGCUGAGAUGCUUACAGCUGCAGGAUCAGGAACAUGUGUUUACAGACCUUGAGUCUCUC